rnacentral:tmRNA from 3 species
GGGGGUGUUUUUAAUUCGCUAGUUUUUAGUAAUUAUGACGCGCAAUUGGUGCUGACUAACACUUGAAACUUGUCAACAAACAUAAAUGCCAAAAACAUUAUGUCCAGGAUUGCAUCUGCUUUUAGCGUGAUGCAACCUGCAGCUGUAAUCGCCUAACUUAGGCUUUUACCAUCCUACCUCGAUGCCUAUUAGAGGGUUUGGGGUGUAAUCAGUAGGCUUAGAUUGAACAGGCGUUCUAACUGCUCGAUUAACAAUUUUUAGAACAGGUCUGAAAGCAAGUUUUGUCUAUUUACGCUUUGAGACUGAUUCAAAUAGACUAUAAUUGUAGUGCUGACUAAUCGUUAUUAAUUACACGUGGGUGCAAUACCCACCACCUCCACCA